UGGGGAAUUUUGGACGAAUUGGGCGAAAGCCUGAUCCAGCAAUGCCGCGUGUGUGAAGAAGGCCUUCGGGUUGUAAAGCACUUUUGUCCGGAAAGAAAUCCUUGGCUCUAAUACAGUCGGGGGAUGACGGUACCGGAAGAAUAAGCACCGGCUAACUACGUGCCAGCAGCCGCGGUAAUACGUAGGGUGCAAGCGUUAAUCGGAAUUACUGGGCGUAAAGCGUGCGCAGGCGGUUUGCUAAGACCGAUGUGAAAUCCCCGGGCGUCAACCUGGGAACUGCAUUGGUGACUGGCAGGCUAGAGUAUGGCAGAGGGGGGUGAGAAUUCCACGUGUAGCAGUGAAAUGCGUAGAGAUGUGGAGGAAUACCGAUGGCGAAGGCAGCCCCUGGCAAGUACUGACGCUCAUGCACGAAAGCGUGGGGAGCAAACNGGAUUAAUNCCCUGGUAGUCCACGCCCUAAANGAUGUC
rnacentral:rRNA from 1 species